rnacentral:misc_RNA from 1 species
UCCGGUUUGUCACCGGCAGUCUCCUUAGAGUGCCCAACUGAAUGCUGGCAACUAAGGACAAGGGUUGCGCUCGUUGCGGGACUUAACCCAACACCUCACGGCACGAGCUGACGACAGCCAUGCAGCACCUGUGCAGCGGCCCCGAAGGGAAUAUACAUUUCUGUAUACGUCCACUGCAUGUCAAGACUGGGUAAGGUUCUUCGCGUUGCAUCGAAUUAAACCACAUGCUCCACUGCUUGUGCGGGUCCCCGUCAAUUCUUUUGAGUUUCACCCUUGCGAGCGUACUCCCCAGGCGGUAUACUUAUCGCGUUAGCUACGGCACAACCAGGGUUGAGUCCGGUUACACCAAGUAUACAUCGUUUACGGCAAGGACUAC